UCAAUGUAGACCUUGCUUGUGGUUAUUAACUUAUUAUGUACAUAUAAUCUAGCUUAUUGCUAAUUAGUUGAUUAAUUCCUUAGAAGGUUAGAGAUUAAUUUAGCUUCAGCUUCAGUUUCGAAAGGGUGAAGCAAGAGCAAGGUUCGAACAAUUCAACAAUCAUGUUUUGGUGAAGCCAGUUCAGAUUGAUCUUCAAGGAUGGUGAAUUCUAUAGACUGUAGCUUAGUAAUUUCAUUCUGUUUCUUUAAACAGAUUUUGAUAUCAAGCAACAAUUUUUUUGGUAGAAUGCUGAAAAUAGUUUUGAGUGUAUAUUUUACUCUGCUUCAAAUUGAUCUACCA
rnacentral:lncRNA from 1 species